UGGGAAAACAGUCAGCAAGCUUGUUGUAAGACACUGUGAAUUAUUGACUAGAAUGGGCAGUAUUCCAUUGUGCAGUUUGCCGCUUCAUUUCAUGGUGAUAUUGGUACACACAUGUUUCAUCACCUUUGAUGACAUGGCCCAUAAUGUCGUCUUGCCUCUCCAAAAGGUCUUGGCAAAUUUUCCUCCUGUCAAAGAUCCUCAGCCAGCCAGAAAUCAGGAUGGAGGAUGAUGAACUUGGCAUUGUAGCGUGCUGGGCUCCACCAAUCCAGGAAGAAGUCUCUGGUGUGUGUUCUAUAAACUGUGAUUUAAUAUUCAAUAUAAAGGGUUCAGGUGUUAGAGAUAUUGCUCCACUGAAAUUAACAAAAAGGUAUUUUUUGUAUGUGCUUACAUUGUGUUUUGGCCAAUUAUUUUGUUAUGGCAUAAACAUCCACGGAAACAAUGAGCUCACAGUUAGGAAAGUAUGUAGCAAUAUAGUUGGGCAUUUUGAUGAUAACCUUUCAUCAUGUUGUAACAACGUUACUGACACUGUGUUUCAAUGUAGUAUUUCUUAUGAAAUAAUAAUAAUAAUAUAUUAUAUUAUUGUGACAGGA